rnacentral:rRNA from 1 species
GGCUCCAUGACCAAUAUACAUAUGGAGUCUGACCUGCCCGGUGAAGUGUUUUAACGGCCGCGGUAUCUUGACCGUGCAAAGGUAGCAUAAUAAUUUGUUCUAUAAUUGAGGACUGGUAUGAAUGGUUUAACAAGAGUGUAGCUGUCUCUUAUUAAUUUUAUAGAAUUUUAUUUCCAGGUGAAGAAGCCUGAAUACAAUUGAAAGACAAGAAGACCCUAUCGAGCUUUAAAAAAACUAGUAAAUUUAUGUUAAUAAUUACAUAAAAAACAAUUUAUUAAAUUAUUUUGGUUGGGGCGACUAAGGAACAAAUAAAGCUUCUUUAACAAUUAUUAACCGACAGGUUUAGAUCCAGAUUUUAUGAUUAAAGGAAUUAGUUACCGUAGGGAUAACAGCAUUAUCUUUUUUGAGAGUUCUAAUCGAAAAAAAGGUUUGUGACCUCGAUGUUGGACCAGAAUAUCCAGAAGAUGCAGAAGUCUUCAAGGGUUGGUCUGUUCGACCAUUAAAA